UCCAGUAGGUGGGUUCGCGCGCCUCCUUCACUCAAUACAGACGAGUGAGAGUGAGAGCUGCGUGUCUGUGCCGUUCUUUCACCUCUCCUCACUAUUUCCCCUGUUUAAGGGCACAACAUUUGGAGGCACCGCUGGGAUGAUUGAUUUGAGGACCAUCCCUGACCUGUAAGAGAAAUCCUCUCGUUGAUCAUCCCCCCCGAGACGACCCAGGUAUCAGAAAGGAGCAUAGCGAAGCAGCAGAGGCAUUGCUAGACCUACGUUGGUGUCUGUAUCCUGAAGUGAAAAAGUGACCACUAGGGGGCAGUAAAAGCCAACUAAGUCUGAUCAUUUCUCAGCUGACUGCUUGUGCUAACUCCUCUGACAACAUGGAGUCUGAAUUAGAAAAGCUAGAGCUGGAGAUUAAAGGAACACUGUAUCAACUGACCUUAGAGCAGCUGAUUAAAUUAUGUGAUGUACUUCAAAUCUCCGGACCAGGAAAAGAGUUUGUGAUUAAUAAAACGCGCAGUCAGCUAGUCUCACAUUUAGUUAAGCACCUUGAACGAACAGAGCUGGCUACCCGAGAGGACGAAGGUAUGUCAGAACUUCUUAAUGUCCAGGACA